CGGGGGUGGGCGACGACAGAGGGAUGGGAACAACGGAAGAGGGCAGUCGGGAGAGUGUCGGUGGAGGGCAGCUUUGUGUCUGAAUUGGUCAUUUUGAAAGACAGUUGUAACACAGUCUAAUCAGAGAGCUCACGCCAAUGUAUUAGACCUGGCAAUCAAAAUCUGACUCCUGCUCCUGCUGAGAAGGGUGUGAAUGGAAAACUGUCCAUACAUACAAGAAGGAGAAUAUGGAUCAAGGACUACAUCAAUGAACCAAUGCGGUCCUUCAUCCGAAGGGUUUUUUUAACCUGCCCUAUAAACAUAUGGCCGACUUUCAGCCAGAUAUCGAUCGGGGAAGACUGUCGGAGGGCCCCAUACACUGGCCAAAAUUUAGUCUGUCGGCAGUUUAUAUAUGCCUGUCAGAGCUGGGCUAGGCAACCUGGCCGGCUGCGGCGAUAAACACAUGCUGAUAAAAUGCAAGUUGACUGCAGCAUAAAAAAUGUCGCCUUCUAAUGACACAGCAGUUUUCUCUGAAAAGGUUUUGCUUUCAUAAGCACUCAUUGGAUUACCACACACAUGCCCAGGCGGGGAUACAUUUUAGUUCUUUCAAUGAUUGUAGGACAGGAAAGGCAAAGUCCAGCUGAAAUACCUUGUGCAAUAAAAUUGUGCUAAUAAAAGAGACUGCUACUUUAAUCCACGUGUCAACAGAGGCAAUGCAGACAAUGAGUUGUAAAGGAAGAGGAUCGGAUGAACAGAACAUUUAUCACUGACAGUGUCACCUCUAUACAACAGAAAACAUAGCGUCUUCCCCAAAAUGUCAGGUUGCCAUAACUGAUAUAUACAGCUGGGGAGAAAUGACCAUUUAUCUGCUUCAUCGAAUAUGCUUUGUACUGGCAAUGUAUAUUGUUGCAUUAUUGUUCCUCACAAUCCAUUGAGCUCGAUACUAUAACAUACCCUGUUUAUGGUCUUACAAUUGGACCUGUGUAUAAUACCUGUGUAUAUUUACUAAACUCUGAAUUUAUCUGGUUGGGCUUUUUGGGGCAAAAGCUCGACUUUUUGUGGAAAAACAAACCUCGGAUUUUUCAAGAUUUAUUACACUUAGAUGCUGAAAAAAGCCUGAGUUCAAAAAUCCGCCAUCUCAGACACGUUGAGGUCCUGUAUAAGUCAAUGGGAGAAGCACCUAUCCCAAUUUAAAAGUAUCGUGGUUUGCGCUGGGUUUAGCCUGAAAAUCCCAAAAAUUUGGGGUUUUCGGGCAACAACCCAAAAAAAAAUUGACAAACUUUAUAUAAGGUAUAUAAAUAAUGUUAAAUCGGGCAUGGCAGUUUGGCCAUGGUGUUUUAAAUAAAAUAAUGAGAUAAACUUAGAAUUUGGUAAGUAACUUCUUAGUGAAAAUGCAUUGGCAGACAAUUUCAUGAAAUUACGUGAUUUAAAUAACAUACAAUUAACAUUUUUGGCAACAGCAA